rnacentral:lncRNA from 1 species
CUCGCUGCUUACUUCGUCUCUCGCAAGUCUCUCCACCGCCGUCGACCUCUCUCAACAGGUAUACCUCUCUCUCUCUCUCUCACUCACACACACACACAUAUGUAUGUAUUUCUGUGCGGGUACAUGGACUUCUUUGGUUACAGUUUGUACGAUUGUAUUGUUAUAAUCAGAUUAAUUAAGUUAGGCUUUUAUUAGCAGUGAUGUUAAUUAUACCUAUGAUGAAUUAUUUGAUGGAGUCAUGGAGUGAAAGAAGAAAGUUAGUGGCAGACUGGAGAUUGCAAGAGUAUAUUAGGGAAUGCAAUUUUAAUAUGUUUAUGGAUAUCAAAAACAUGAACUAGUGUAUUCUAACUGUUAUUAUAGAGUUUGUUACAAAUAGAUUUUUCUGAGGUGCUGUUUGUUCAAUUGGUAUUCAUUGGUCAAGUCGCAUCCUUAAGUAUAAUAUGGUACUUGUUUUGGUCCAUUGCAUUUGCAACGCACCAUGUAAGAGGUGGGUUUUAGGGUGGCAGUUUUUGAGCUUGUGCUAAUGUCAGAGUAAAUGUGUUUAUUAAAUUAGGAUGUGCAUGUCAUUAACUUGUAGGCCGAUUGGAGAUAUAUGCAUAUAUUAUGAAGAUCGGUAGGGUCAAGUACCUAUUAUUCCCAUACUGCCUCCGUGCCUGAACACUCAAAUUUAUUAUUUAGAAUGAAUGUGUAAAUGAAUAGUUGUAUCAUGCAAUAGCAGUUAGGGUUGCAACUAUUGCAACAGAUGAUAGGUUAUUUAUUGCAAAACUUUUUGUUAGCUUGUUCAUGCAAAGUCCUUUAUAGUUUAUAUCCUACUUUGUUGUCGAAUAUACAACUUUAAUAUCAAUUUUGCACCAUUUAAUUUGUUUUGUUGCAUAAAAAGAUAAUCACUGAUAGUUAUAUGAUGGAGCUUUAUGUCUCUUUUCAUAAUAUAUUUUUUGGCAGUUGCAAACAUGAUUCACACAAGGUUGUCGUCAUCCCCAAGUUCGAAGUCCAAAUCCGAUUUGCCACCAAAGCAAAAGAUAGAUAAAAAAUCCAAGGCAACCUUGAUAAGGCUAGGCCAGUUAUCCAAAGUGAUCAGUUUUCCAUUGAUAAGGCUUCCCCGGGCUCAACGUCCGAUAUAGCUACGCCUUCAAAACGCAAGAUAACUCAAAAAACUAAAGCUGUUGUCAAGGAUAAGAUGUCCAAGUUAGCCAUUCACAAUGAUCCUAUUUUUUUUAAUGAGG